AGAGUUUGAUCAUGGCUCAGAUUGAACGCUGGCGGCAUGCUUUACACAUGCAAGUCGAACGGUAACAGGUCUUCGGAUGCUGACGAGUGGCGAACGGGUGAGUAAUGCAUCGGAACGUGCCCAGUCGUGGGGGAUAACGCAGCGAAAGCUGUGCUAAUACCGCAUACGAUCUAUGGAUGAAAGCGGGGGAUCGCAAGACCUCGCGCGAUUGGAGCGGCCGAUGUCAGAUUAGCUAGUUGGUGGGGUAAUGGCCCACCAAGGCGACGAUCUGUAGCUGGUCUGAGAGGACGACCAGCCACACUGGGACUGAGACACGGCCCAGACUCCUACGGGAGGCAGCAGUGGGGAAUUUUGGACAAUGGGCGCAAGCCUGAUCCAGCAAUGCCGCGUGCAGGAAGAAGGCCUUCGGGUUGUAAACUGCUUUUGUACGGAACGAAAAGGUCUGGGUUAAUACCCUGGGCUCAUGACGGUACCGUAAGAAUAAGCACCGGCUAACUACGUGCCAGCAGCCGCGGUAAUACGUAGGGUGCAAGCGUUAAUCGGAAUUACUGGGCGUAAAGCGUGCGCAGGCGGUUUUGUAAGACAGGCGUGAAAUCCCCGGGCUCAACCUGGGAAUGGCGCUUGUGACUGCAAAGCUGGAGUGCGGCAGAGGGGGAUGGAAUUCCGCGUGUAGCAGUGAAAUGCGUAGAUAUGCGGAGGA
rnacentral:rRNA from 1 species